UACGUAGGGUGCGAGCGUUGUCCGGAAUUACUGGGCGUAAAGGGCUCGUAGGCGGCCAACUAAGUCAGACGUGAAAUCCCUCGGCUUAACCGGGGAACUGCGUCCGAUACUGGAUGGCUUGAGUUUGGGAGAGGGAUGCGGAAUUCCAGGUGUAGCGGUGAAAUGCGUAGAUAUCUGGAGGAACACCGGUGGCGAAGGCGGCAUCCUGGACCAAUUACUGACGCUGAGUGAGCGAAAGCCAGGGGAGCAAACGGG
rnacentral:rRNA from 1 species